rnacentral:rRNA from 1 species
AACGAACGCUGGCGGCAUGCCUAAUACAUGCAAGUCGAACGAGUCUUUCUGGUCCAUUGGCUCCCGGGUGCGUAACGCGUGGGUACCUGCCCUUUGGUUCGGACUAACUUCCCGAAAGGGUUACUAAUACCGGAUAAUGUCUUCGGACUAAAGAUUUAUCGCCUUUGGAUUUGCCCGCUUUGGAUUAGCUAGUUGGUAGGGUAAAAGCCUACCAAGGCGACGAUCCAUAGCUGGUCUGAGAGGAUGAUCAGCCACACUGGGAGUGAGACACGGCCGAGACUCUUACGGGAGGAAGCAAGGGGGAAUAGUGAACAAUGGGCGAAAGAAUGAUCCAGUAAGGCCGCGUGAGUGAUGAAGGACAUAGGGUUGAAAAGCUCAGUUAACAGGGAAGAUAAUGACAGUACCGAGAGAAUAAGCUACGGCUAACUCCGUG